rnacentral:sRNA from 12 species
UUCAGAGAUUGCCUCUGUCAUUACCUACAUUAAGUAUGCAAUGGGAAUGCAAUCGUUGA